rnacentral:snRNA from 1 species
AGAAUGGAGGACCAUGUGACUUGUGUCACUCUGUUGAUCAUCAGGGUUACUUCACAGGGUUACUUCAGUUGAUUUUGGCUGGCUAUGCAGGAAUCCCUUCCUCUCCACUCUGUGUCUCCCUCCCAGAGCUGUGUACAUUGCAGAAGAGGCUGUUCUUUGGUGGAAGGUAUUUAAAUAGCUGUGCUCCCCUGUGAAGACAGUUAAGUUCUCACAUAGGAGACUCUACAAAAGUAUAUAAAAUAAAAAAGGGAAGAAAAGGAGAAGAACCAAGGAA